UCAAGCGAACAAGGGCGCAGGGCGAAUGCCUUGGCACUGGGAGCCGAUGAAAGACGUGAUAAGCUGCGAUAAGCUUCGGGGAGCUGCAAAUAAGCAUUGAUCCGGAGAUUUCUGAAUGAGGAAACUCACCUGGGUUCAUACUCAGGUACGUUAUACUGAACUUCAAAAUAGGUAUAUCGAGGGAACCGCCUGAACUGAAACAUCUAAGUAGGGCGAGGAAGAGACAUCAAACGAGAUUCCGUAAGUAGUGGCGAGCGAACGCGGAAGAGGGCAAACCGAGAGUAGAAAUACUUUCGGGGUACGGACUGCUUUUAAGACUUAAUCUGUUAACCGAACGGCAUGGGAAGGCCGGUCAGAGAGUGUGAGAACCACGUAGGUGAAAACGACAAGAGCCGAGCGAAUUCCAGAGUACGGCCAGACACGUGAAACCUGGUCGGAAUACGGGGGGACCACCCUCCAACCCUAAAUACUACCCAGUGACCGAUAGCGUAUAGUACUGUGAAGGAAAGGUGAAAAGCACCCCGGGAGGGGAGUGAAAAAGAACCUGAAACCCUGUGCCUACAAGCACCUAGAGCGCGUCAAAGCGUGAUAGGGUACUUUUUGUAGAACGGUCCGGCGAGCGAUUGUAUGCAGCAAGGUUAAGGACUUAAGGUCUGGAGCCGAAGCGAAAGCGAGUUUGAAAAGGGCGUUAAGUUGCAUAUAAUGGGCCCGAAACCGGGUGACCUACCCAUGGUCAGGUUGAAGUGGAAGUAAAAUUCCAUGGAGGACCGAACCGACCUCCGUUGAAAAGGCGGCGGAUGAACUGUGGGUAGCGGAGAAAUUCCAAUCGAACCCGGAGAUAGCUGGUUCUCCCCGAAAUAGUUUUAGGACUAGCCUCAAGUUAGAUACCUGGAGGUAAAGCACUGAAUAGCCUAGCGGCCGAGAGGUUAGCGAAGCUUAUCAAACUCAGAAUGCCAGAGUAUUGAUGCUUGGGAGUCAGACAGUGUCAGAUAAAUGUCAUUGUCAAAAGGGAAACAGCCCAGAUCUACAGCUAAGGUCCCAAAGUCAGGUUAAGUGGAAAACGAUGUGAAGAUACGCAGACAACCAGGAUGUUGGCUCAGAAGCAGCCACUCAUUCAAAGAGUGCGUAAUAGCUCACUGGUCGAGCGUCUUUGCGCGGAGAAUUUAACGGGGCUAAACCUGACACCGAAGCUUAGGCAAUACAGCAAUGUAUUGGGUAGGGGAGCGUUGUAUACGCGGAGAAACAGUAGCGCAAGCGGCUGUGGAGUGUAUAGAAGUGAGAAUGCCGGAAUGAGUAGCGCGAAUGCAGUGAGAAUCUGCAUGGCCGAAAGCCUCAGGUUUCUGGAGGAAGGUUCGUCCGCUCCAGGUCAGUCGGGAGCUAAGGUGAGGCCUAACGGCGUAGCCGAUGCACAGACGGUAGAGAUUCCGUCACCACCAAAAGAGUUAAGCACAGGGACACAUAUGAAGUCUCAGAGCCGGGUGUUGGUUCCGGUAGCGAUCGAGGGAAGUUAGUACCGAAGUCCGGGAUGGAAGAUGGCGAGAAAAGCUGUGUGUAUUUCUGCGGUGCCCGUACCGCAAACCGACACAGGUAGGUAGGAAGAAGAUUCUAAGGCCAACGGGAGAAGGGUUGUUAAGGAACUCGGCAAAUUGACCCCGUAACUUCGGGAGAAGGGGUGCUCCAGAGAUGGAGCCGCAGAGAAUCGGCCCAAGCAACUGUUUACCAAAAACACAGGUUUGUGCUAAAUCGAAAGAUGACGUAUACGAGCUGACGCCUGCCCGGUGCUGGAAGGUUAAGAGGAGAUGUGCAAGCAUUGAAUCGAAGCCCCAGUGAACGGCGGCCGUAACUAUAACGGUCCUAAGGUAGCGAAAUUCCUUGUCAGGUAAGUUCUGACCCGCAUGAAAGGCGUAAUGAUUUGGGCACUGUCUCAACAGCCCGCCCGGCGAAAUUGUAGUACCGGUGAAGAUGCCGGUUACCCGCGACAAGACGGAAAGACCCCAUGGAGCUUUACUGUAGCCUAAUAUUGGGUUUCGAUGUUGCAUGCACAGGAUAGAUGGGACACUGGGAAGCAGGUGCUUUGGCGCUUGUGGAGUGGCCGUUGGGAUACCAUCCUUGCGAUAUUGGAAUUCUAACCUGCGCCUUUGAAUCAAGGCGGGGGACAUUGUUAGGUGGGCAGUUUGACUGGGGCGGUCGCCUCCUAAAGAGUAACGGAGGCGUUCAAAGGUUCGCUCAGCUUGAACGGAAAUCAAGCAAAAGAGUGCAAACGCAGAAGCGAGCCUAACUGCGAGACUGACGGGUCGAGCAGUAACGAAAGUUGGAGUUAGUGAUCCGGUGGUAUGUGAGUGGAAAUGCCAUCGCUCAACGGAUAAAAGUUACCCUGGGGAUAACAGGCUGAUCUCCCCCAAGAGUCCACAUCGACGGGGAGGUUUGGCACCUCGAUGUCGGCUCAUCGCAUCCUGGGGCUGUAGUAGGUCCCAAG
rnacentral:rRNA from 1 species